ACUCUUUAAAUACUGCUCCAAUGCAAAAUCAGUUCAUCUUCUGGACAAGUGAAAGUUCUUUUACUUUUUGCAGCCUUCUAUGGCUAUUCACAACAGUAGGAUUUUGAAUCCUACUCUCUCAAACAUGCCAAUAUGGUACAUUUAUGCGAAGUCUGAUGAUGCAGGACUAUUUGAGCCAUCAGAUGGGGUCCACGGUUGACCCCACUGAUGCUUGGAUGCAAAUCUGGCCAUGAUUUAUGGUCCAAUUGGAAUGUGGGCAUACCGAUCGAACCAGAUGUUCUAUCCAACAUGGCGCACAAUUAAGUGGACGGCUAGGUACACCAUAUGGUUGGAUUGUGGGGCUGUCAAGUCCAACUGGGUAGUCUUUUGGGACUUGUACCAAUAGAGUGCUAUUAGAUAGGCUUAUAUACUAAUCAGUUUGGUACUUAUGACUAUUGCAUAAACCAUAUGGCUCCCUUGUGUAUCUAAUCUAAUACGGUCAGUCCAUGAGGCAUGUUUUGCUUCAUUAUCGGGCCAUCCAUCAGAUGUUUGAACCUUUUAUGUGAUGCCAUGCCAGUACAAUCAUUAGGUGGGUCACAUUUAUGAUGGAUCCGGUUCAUUUUUCAAAAUUUUUAACCGUCCAUAUUAUCCUGGACAUAGAUCCACCUGUUGCAUCUUCUCUGGCUUUUUUUUUUUUUUUUUUAAAUUUUUUAAAAAUGUUUGCCAUACUAUUUAUUAGAGAAUGAUUCCCUGUAUUGAGCUUUGGUUUUUCUUUCCGAAAGUUUGCAUGUUUUCUUAUCUAUUAAGAUGAACUGAUUGACAAAUUGAAAAUUCGAUUUAGUUGUUAUAUGGGGCCUAAAGUGAUGUAUCCACACAGUCCAACCUGUCUAUCAGAUUCUUCACCUCAGAAAACACUUGGGACCGAAAACUCGGCCCAAUCCAAACUAAGUUGGUCCACAGCAAAGCGAAUGAUCUAGGUCAGAUGAACUCAACCCAAUCCUUUAGAAACUAUGUUAGAUACUCUCUAUAGCUAAUGUCUUUGUUUUGAUGCACUUUUUGAUUUGCAUGUUGGAUCUUAGGUUUUUGAAAGUUAUUUGCAAGGUGGACUGUUAAUGUAAUCCAACACGUUAGACUUGGCACAUCCUUUAUGAGUUUUUAUUUAGUGGCUACGACCUUUUGAAAUGUCAGGUGUCCACUUUGCAGUUUUGGGCUGAUAGUGUUUGUAGUUUCAUGGGAUUUCUGAGGAUGGACGUGUGCUUUGACGAAAGACACCGUCGUUGCAUAGGCUGAGCAGUAUGCUAAAAAAUAGACACUGAAAAAUUAUGUUGAAGGACAGGAAGUUGCAGAUGGUUCAUCUAUUGUUGAAAGCAAACAGAAGGAAGUACUUCAGUUGGUGGUAACUGAAGUACUUGGACGUGGCAAGUUCUACAUCCAAACAGUUGGCGACCAGAAAGUGGCAGCUAGCUUCGUUCAACCUUCCAGAAGCCCCUGUUAUUGGUGCUUUUAAUCCUAAGAAGGGAGAUAUAGUCCUUGCUCAGUUUAAUGCAGAUAAUUCUUGGAACAGAGCCAUGGUAUAUUGCUGUUGGAGAUGAACCAUUACUCUAAAGCUAUGGAGAACGCCCUUUAUCGUUGGCGCAGCAUCAAAUAUCCAUUUGGCGCAGCAACAACUACAAGCACAUUUUAGAUUAUCAUAACAUGCGAUGGUCCUAGAACAUACUGCCCAGGUAUCUCUAGCUAGCAAAUGUGCUUCCUCGAGCCUACUAUUUCGGCCAAGCAAAUCAAUCAAACACCCAUAAUGCUCGAUCUUUGGAUCCAUCCCAAAAUCUCUCUUCAUACUAAAUUUUGCUGCAUAUUUUGAUCCAUUCUCUCUCUGAAGUUGCUGUUAGCUGUUAGCUGUGGUAGCUGUUUCCUCACUUGCUAAAUUUUGCUAUUAGCUGUGGUAGCUAUUUCCUUGACCCAUAGCAGGAAAUAAAGCAGUCGUGUGAUGAAAGUAGGGCAGACCUUUACAAUCGAACCCAUGAUCAAUGCAGGAUGAUCCUGUUUGUGUUACUGCUCAAGGUGAUGGCAAGAUUCUUAUUACAGAUAUAUGGGUUGAUGGUAUGUAGAUCUCAACUAGAUAAGCAGUGCAGGUGGAUCCUCUCCCGCCAAAUAAAUCCAUUGCAUUUCCAGGCCUUGGCACGCUUUUAGGAAGUCACCAACAGAUA